rnacentral:rRNA from 1 species
GUGGGGAAUCUUCCGCAAUGGACGAAAGUCUGGCGGAGCAACGCCGCGUGAGUGAAGAAGGUUUUCGGAUCGUAAAGCUCUUUCGUUAGGGACGAACGUGCUCUUUGUGAAUAAUGAGGAGUAAUGACGGUACCUAAAUAAGAAGCCACGGCUAACUACGUGCCAGCAGCCGCGGUAAUACGUAGGUGGCAAGCGUUGUCCGGAAUUAUUGGGCGUAAAGCGCGCGCAGGCGGGAUAUCAAGUCUGUCUUAAAAGUGCGAGGCUCAACCUCGUGAGGGGACAGAAACUGGUAUUCUUGAGUGUCGGAGAGGAAAGUGGAAUUCCAAGUGUAGCGGUGAAAUGCGUAGAGAUUUGGAAGAACACCAGUGGCGAAGGCGACUUUCUGGACGAUGUCUGACGCUGAGGCGCGAAAGCUAGGGGAGCGAACGGGAUUAGAUACCCCUGUAGUCC